GCUUGCUCCCUGAUGUUAGCGGCGGACGGGUGAGUAACACGUGGGUAACCUGCCUGUAAGACUGGGAUAACUCCGGGAAACCGGGGCUAAUACCGGAUGGUUGUUUGAACCGCAUGGUUCAGACAUAAAAGGUGGCUUCGGCUACCACUUACAGAUGGACCCGCGGCGCAUUAGCUAGUUGGUGAGGUAACGGCUCACCAAGGCGACGAUGCGUAGCCGACCUGAGAGGGUGAUCGGCCACACUGGGACUGAGACACGGCCCAGACUCCUACGGGAGGCAGCAGUAGGGAAUCUUCCGCAAUGGACGAAAGUCUGACGGAGCAACGCCGCGUGAGUGAUGAAGGUUUUCGGAUCGUAAAGCUCUGUUGUUAGGGAAGAACAAGUGCCGUUCAAAUAGGGCGGCACCUUGACGGUACCUAACCAGAAAGCCACGGCUAACUACGUGCCAGCAGCCGCGGUAAUACGUAGGUGGCAAGCGUUGUCCGGAAUUAUUGGGCGUAAAGGGCUCGCAGGCGGUUUCUUAAGUCUGAUGUGAAAGCCCCCGGCUCAACCGGGGAGGGUCAUUGGAAACUGGGGAACUUGAGUGCAGAAGAGGAGAGUGGAAUUCCACGUGUAGCGGUGAAAUGCGUAGAGAUGUGGAGGAACACCAGUGGCGAAGGCGACUCUCUGGUCUGUAACUGACGCUGAGGAGCGAAAGCGUGGGGAGCGAACAGGAUUAGAUACCCUGGUAGUCCACGCCGUAAACGAUGAGUGCUAAGUGUUAGGGGGUUUCCGCCCCUUAGUGCUGCAGCUAACGCAUUAAGCACUCCGCCUGGGGAGUACGGUCGCAAGACUGAAACUCAAAGGAAUUGACGGGGGCCCGCACAAGCGGUGGAGCAUGUGGUUUAAUUCGAAGCAACGCGAAGAACCUUACCAGGUCUUGACAUCCUCUGACAAUCCUAGAGAUAGGACGUCCCCUUCGGGGGCAGAGUGACAGGUGGUGCAUGGUUGUCGUCAGCUCGUGUCGUGAGAUGUUGGGUUAAGUCCCGCAACGAGCGCAACCCUUGAUCUUAGUUGCCAGCAUUCAGUUGGGCACUCUAAGGUGACUGCCGGUGACA
rnacentral:rRNA from 1 species